rnacentral:lncRNA from 1 species
GUUGAAUCCGAUGAAGCUUGCCUACGUAUCGUGACCCCGCAUGAAUCAGACCGGGCGUAGUUCGUGAAUAUAAAAGGUUAAAACAAUAAAACAUAUUUUGGGACUAAUCAAUUUUUCAUAACAAAAUAAACUUUGAUUACAAAGGUUUAAAAACUGACCAAACUAAUACAUUUUAACGAAAAGACGACGUACAUACUUGAAAAUCAAACACCUCACAUACUCUAAUCAAACGAAAAAUAAACUGACAGUUUCUUUAUCCUAUAUGCCAAUUUCAACCAAAUGGCUAUUUUUGCAAACGUUCCCUCUUCCUAAUCGCACGAAUUUUGAGGCCAGGAAGGAUUAUUUUAUGUAACUUCACAAACCUUUCCAUUCUUUUACGAAAAUAGCAUUUCAACAACUAAAAGAUACUCUAGGGCUAUCUCGGGAAGAACAGUUUAAGACAUUACCGAAGAUGGCUCGGCUUAUUUAGACCAAAACUUCAAGCGGUAUUCACUUGACCACUUACUCUUUUUCAUGUUUUUGAAAUUAAAAUAAAAGACCUGGGUUUGCAACAUGGUCUUUCAGCAUCUCGGGGAUGAAUAUUUUAAGGCUGCAUCUGCCAUCCGACCAAAAUCCUGAAAAAUGACCAAAGGUGAUUAUUCUCGCAAAAGCGGCCUUCCGGCGUCCUUUUUGGGACAUUUGGCUUAUUUUUGAUGAGAAUGGUGGCAGCCAAAUUAUUCAUGUCAAAAUUUACAACUUAGAUAUUUUUUGGCUAUUUUUGCAAAGGGAAAGUUGGACCCGAUGAAGGUUUCCUACGUAUCUCACGCCUUGUGAGAAUCAAACCAUGCGUAGUUCAGGCAUAUAAACUGAGCUAUUUUAAAAUAGGGCCCUUUUUCAUUUUCAUUUUUGUCAUUUCAAUUAAAAAAACUACUAUUAAAAAUCAGACUCUUUUUCCUUUUCUUUUUCAACAAACAACCUAUUUUCCAAACAAAAAAUAAAGAUUCCUUUUCUUUUUCUUUUUCAACAAACAAUAAAACAACCUAUUUUUCCCAACUAAAAUUAAAGAUUUUUUUUAGCAAACAAUAAAACAACCUAUUUUCUUUUCCGCUAGUAAACAAGAAAAACCAAAAAUAACGACUCUUUUUUUUUCAUUUUCCAUUUUCGUAAACAGGAAACUUAUAAAUGACAUACUCUUUUUGAAAAUGACAACUAUUUUAAAAACAAAACACUUUUUCAUUUUCUCAAAAUUUCGCUAGAGUUCCGACUGUAUUUGAGCAUUGAGCUUUUCUAAAAAAAAUCAGCUAACUCUCCAACUGCUAUUUUUCUAUUUUUCUCUUUUUUUCUAUUUUCAAAUUUCAAACAUUUCCGAGAUUCAGACUUCGGUCAGCAUGCGAGUCCGAAACAAAUGAAUGCACAGAACACAAGCAGGAUGCAUCAAGAUGGUCUUUUCCAUUCUGGUUGCUAUUCCUAGAUGGAUCCAAUCCCCGUGUUGAGUCCCCUAAGUCAAAAAUGUACAUGAUGCAAAAUAAACGAUACUACUAGGGAUCCAACAAGAAGUUGAGUUAUUCUAGGUUUAGAACCUAGGUGUUUGUUCUAGACCUGGCUUACCCGAGCAGAUAGCUCGAGCCGAGGGAGAGUCAGCGUACCAGGAAUACAGAAGCUUCACCGGCUUUGUAACUUAUCCAAACCUCGUUCUGUAUUGGUAAUUAGACUCUAUACUAAAAAGAAGUCACACGAAGUGCACCCUUCUUCAUGAUUUAGAAGACUCAGAGAGAAGACGGGUUUCGGCACAAUUUAUAUACAGUUCACGUAAUAUCAAAGCGGUAAAAGAAAUCAACUAGCAUAUUAAGCACAUAUCAUGUAACAAAAUCAUAUAACGCCAAACGCAACGAUUAUUCUAAGCUCAAAUUCUGAACCCUGAACAAAAGUUCUUGGUUCUUCUCCUCAGCAGAGUCGCCAGAGCUGUCACACCUCCUUUUUCACUACACCUGCAAGGGCGUAAAGGAGUUUUUCCAAUUAAAGGACAAUCGGAACGGGAUUUAUUAUUAAAGAUUAAGAGUCGCCACUUGGGAGAUUAAUGGUGUCCCAAGUCACCGAUUGAAUCCCGAACUGAGGAAAUAAUGACUCUGUUAACAGUCCACGAAUUAGAAAUUCAGAUAAGGAAUUCUAUUAACCCAGGAGAAGGUGUCAGGCAUUACCGUGUUCCGUGGUUCUAGCACGAUCGCUCAACUGUCGCAUUUAGCUUAUUUAUCUAGUUUUAUUACAUUAAGAACCUAUGUGCCAAUUUUUACUUUUUACCGAUUUUAUUUAAUAUGUAUUUUUAUAAAAAAGUUAAACAUCGUUUAAAGCGUGCCUUUAGAUUGCGUCACAUGAAAUGCACCCGCAAUCCUAAGGACACUCUAUUCAAUAUUUUGGGAUUUGAUUUGGGUCGCAUGAAAUGCACACCCGAGUUUAAGAAUGUAAUUUUAUUAAAAUCGCGUCUAAAGAGACUAACGCAUUGUUAUCGUUUGGGAAGGCCGUGAAAUUCACUGAACGUUCCGUCCGGCAUUCCUAAGUAUGUUAGCUUUUACUGAGGGCCCCGCAAUAUUGUAUUUUUAUUGGGCGAUGCUCAUCUCAUUUUAGUUUAAAGGGCAAACCGAAAAGCAACUAUGACUUUUUUAUUUUUGUUUUGUCUCUAAAAGAUAAAUUAAAAAAAUCCUAAUUAAUUAAUAUUAGAUAUUGGACUUCAAGUUCAAGUUGGGGCCUAAACAAAAAGGAAAACCUUUUAAUUUGAACCCGCUACCUAACCAAAACUCAAACUCAUAGGAUUACUUAAAUACUUAAUUGAAUUCUUUGUACUAGGCCGAAAUCGUGGGCCCAGCGAUCCCAGCUGGAUAUCCUUGCUAAUUGAACUAAAAGGAGCCAUAGUAAUGGACCUUCAGAUGGCCCGCACGGCCCAAAAUUUUGUUGCCCCCCCCCCUCCCCGGUAACGUGCAUUAAACUUCAAGCCAUAUUGAUGAGGAGCUACUUAAAGAGCACUAAUUACUUAAUUGAAAUGCUCAAUUGUACAUUGCGCAGUUAUUAUCCAUACAUUGUUAUUAUCACUAAUGAAUUAAUUGACAUUCUCAAGAAGACAAGAAUGGAAAUUAUCAACUCAAACUAAUAACUAAUCGUACUUUAUUCCUAAUUCGAUUUUGACAAGCACAUUAAUAUGACUUAAAACGAUAUUACAAUGAGUGGGGUAUUCUGGAGAUUGUUAUGCCUUGUACAAUGUGACUCAGGAUUUGGAUAAUAUAUGCACUACUCCGGAUUAAUUCAUGCUAGCAAAUGAAAGUAAACAAUGGAAACACAAACAUAUGAUUACCAAUUUUACAGAAGGUAUACUAGGCUUAUUAAACUAGAAACUAUCACAAGCAAUUAUUGAACACAAUCUCAAUUGAUCUUAACAUCUGAUUUCACAUUUGAUCCCUGUGAUUUUAAUAGAUCCUAACCGACUGAAUCCAUGACUGAAUGAUCAGCUAUUAAAUUACUACUACAUGAAGCAUCACAACUCAAAAAAUAUCGCUUAACACCUGAUUUUACAUUCGAUCCCUGUGGUUUUAACAGAUCCUAACCUACUGAAUCCAUGACUGAAUGAUCAGCUAUUAAAGUACUACAUGAAUCACCACAACUCAAAACAAAAAACAACAGUCCACAGGUCAAAACAUAGUUCGCAAUCUUCAAUUCAAAAUUAUACACAAAUCCACUUCACACUUCAGUAUAGGUCAAACAACUAAAACUAACAGUCAUACUAAAAAUGUGAGCAAAUUCUGGAAGCUAAUUUCAUUUAACUCCAAAUUAGAAGUACAUUACAGAGAAUUCAAAUUUGUACCUGAAAUUCGAAACGAAAUAGAAAAUGGGGAGGUUAGCAGCAGAGAUAACUUCAGCAGCAAUUCAGAAACCAGUUUUAAUUCCCAGCAGCAAUCAGUGAAGUAUAAAACAGUCCAGCAAAGAUUCAGAAAUUCAAAGUACCUGGAAACCACACAGAAUGACCAGAUUUACUCACAACUAAUUCAAAAUGAGCCUAGACCCACUCAAACACAAAUCAGAUAACCCAGCAACUUCAGAAAUCAGAACUAGAUCACAGAAUAAUUUGCAAAUUAGAACCUAAAACUGAAAUUCACCUAUCACCAAAUGGAACAAUAGCUCUUUUUGGGUUUGUUGAAGUUUUAUAUUGUUUUUUGGAUUUUUAUGAAGAGAGUUAAGAUAUGAAAGGAAUUUAGAUCUGAAAUUCAAAUUUCAGAUCUAGAAGGAUUGAAGAACGUUUUUUUUGGGGUAGGGGGAUUCUUUGGGUUUUCCCCCUCUUUCAAGGAAGAAUGUGCAAGCCUUUAUAUAAGCAGGAAUUAGGAGGGCUCUAGAACUAUUUUUCAUUUAUUGCUCCACCCCCUAAUUAGGCUCC